rnacentral:lncRNA from 1 species
AUGAGAGGAGGGAGGAAUAGAAUAGAUAGGUGGAGCGCGGGGUCCAGAGGAGGAAGGAAUAGAGCAGGCAGGUGGAGCGCGGGGUCCAGAGGAGGAAGGAAUAGAGCAGGCAGGUGGAACACGGGGUCCAGAGGAGGAAGGAAUAGAGUAGGUAGGUGGAGCCUGGGGUCGAGAACAAGAAAUCCGAGGCAGCUUUUUGGUCAUUCUCCAAACGACGUUUGGCUAGUUACUCAUCUGGAACAAAUGAGUAACUGGACUAAAGCUCAGACUUACCCCAGUCUUUAUGUCCCACGCCAGCCCCGCAUCAUCCCCUGGCUCAAUGCCCAUUAUGAAAUGUGUGUGCCCCUCCCUCCGGGCGUGUCAGCGGGCUCACCAGCCAGGGACAGGCCCCGGGUGCGAGGUUGGAGAGUGAUCCCAGGAAAUAGCAGACAGAAGAAAUGUCACAGGAGUCCCUAGGCCUUGGGAUAACCUGUAGUUUUGCCCCUUACUAGGCAAAGAUCGGUCAAAGGGCUGUGCUGCAGUCAGGGGCUGCGCACCAAGAGGAUGGAUCUGAAGCAGGUGUGGGCAAAGUGGGAAGUGCAUGCCUCCGGCUGGUUCACUUACUACACUCUCCAAAGCCCUUGUGCAUCACUUAGGUCCCUCCAUGAACAUGGAGUGGUCAGUGAUAUUAUGUCUAUUUUUCCCGUAAGGAUACUGUAGGCCAGACAGGGAAGUAGAUAGGCAGGCAGCGGGUUCCAAACCGGUGUGACUGACACUUGAGCCAAAACUUGGGGUGUCGCAGGCAGGCCUGCAGGACGGUGCACAGAAUGCACAGAGUACUGUCGGCUGAGCCUCUCCCAUGUUUCUGGACAGGAUCUUGUGGGGAUGCUUUGGAACAGGACUUGACGGUGUAGCUUUCUUCUUGGUUCCCGGGGUUCCUUGGUGUGUUGCCUGACCCUCCCCUGGAGCCAGAAAUAGGACUGAAGCCAACAGCUCCCGAGUGCUCAGUACCUACAUUUGGGCUUCCUUCCUCGCUCACUACCUGAGAUGCCCAACUGCAUGUCAGGUGAGUUAGGAGACUCUUGUGUCCUUGCCCUUCCCCUUGUCUGAUGUAGCAGUUCUCUCUGCUUAUUAUUCUUGGGUUUUUUGACCAUCACCCAAAUCAUCAGCCCCUUUGGUCCUGUAUUCUGUCCUGUACUCUUAUCCCCAUCAUAUUCUGCUUGUGCUUCCUUGGCCCAAUAUCCAUAUCCUUGCGUACUUCACCCAACCAUCCAUUGCAUUCCUUAAGAGGUCCAGCUGCAUGCCUGGAAAACUUCCUGUUUCCUCAGACGGUUUCUUGAUUUCCUGUCUUGAAUCUCCUGGCUUGAACUGUAACCUGGAUUUUCCAUGAAAAUACUGCUUCCUUUGUAUAUAUCUUAAAGAGGGACCGUUCCUGCCAAACUGUACCGUUCUUCUUCGAGGUGGGGAUGUAGAGUAUUUUCCUUGUUUCUUCUGACUGCUUCAUACUACUUUUCCUGUCCUCCAAUUAGAAAAUCUCUUGUCCCAUAGGAACCUUGCUACUCACAAUUUCUCUGACACUUCUGUUAUGGAUACCGUUUUUUUUUCUGUGAAUAAUUUGUGCUUAUCUCAAAGUCUUAGUCUUGAGUCCAUCAUUGUUUUCUAAAAAUCUUUUUUAUUCAUUUGAAUAAGUUAGCCAGAGAGAGAGAGAGAGAGAGAGAGAGAGAAGAAUACAAAGAAUAUGAAGAAGAAGAAGAAGAAGAAGAAGAAGAAGAAGAAGAAGAAGCAGCUGGGCUAGGGGUAGAGGGAGAAGUAGAAGCCGAUUUCCCACUAGUUGUGGAGUCUGACAUGGGGCUAGAUACCAGGACUCCAGGAUCAUGAUCUAGAGCAAAGGCAGAAGCUCAAUACACUGAGCAACCCAGGGACCCUUUGAGUCCUUCAUCUUGAGUGACGUCAGUGUCCAUGUAGAUGAUCCCAUUGAAUCCACAGUGUCCAUGUAGUUUCAAUGCUUUGGCUUCUCCUCUGAUUUCUUUAUCAAUAAUAUCCACCCAUCCGUUGAACUUCAGCUGCUUUUGGCCUACCUGGUCUUUUCCUGGACUGAAGAAUUAUCCCUCCCCUGAAAUCAUGUAUUCAUACAUUGCAUUUUCUGACUACUACUUCCUGAACUUACACUGUAGUCACUGAAUUCUUCCUACUUCACUGGGACCUACAACCACUGACUCUUACUUUCUUCUGAUUAAUUCUGAUUCCUGUUAUCUUGUUUUCUCUUCUCACCCACUUCAGAAACUAUUAUUCAUAAUUUCAUUGAUUUUCUUACCAUUGUCUAUGCUCUCUUGCCAGAUCUUUUUAUUCUGCUUUCCUGGACGGAAAGUCGCCAUAUGAGAGAUUCCAACAAUUUGACUUUCUGGUGUUGAUGAAUGCUGCUGAAAAAACAAUUUCAUGCAACCAGGAAGAUACAAAACAAUACCCAUAAUUCUCAAUACCUGGAAGACUAUUCAUGGUGAUAUUUUUUAUGAGAGUUAGAGAAAUAUGUGAGACAACCUUAAUGUACAAAAAUGAGGAUUCAGGCAAAUUAUGGUGCAGCCAAUCCUAGAUAAUGAAAAGGAAAUGUCCAGAUGUAAAAAAUAAGGUGAGAUAAUAAGCACUUGAGGUGAUGUUAAUGGCAGUCUAGGAUGGGGUGGUGUGCAGAGUAUUAAAUUUGGCUAGGGGCUUGGGUUUUGCUGCUUAUCUGGGACAAAACAACUAUCAUCACAAAGAAUUGGAAAGGUCUCUGACUGGGAUCUGAGUUAACAGAAGUUUCCCUUGAGAUGUCAAAAUCCUGUGCCUGGGAUGCCUGGGUGGCUCAACACCUGUGCAUCUGCCUUUGGAUCAGGGGUUGAUCCUGGGGACAUGGGAUUGAGUCCCGCAUCGGGCUCCCUCCCUGCAAGGAGUCUGCUUCUCUGUCUCCCUGUGUCACUGCCUUUCUCUGUGUCUCUCGUGGGGAAAUCAAUAAAAUCUUCAAACAAAAUCA